rnacentral:rRNA from 1 species
CCCUUAGAUGUUCUGGGCCGCACGCGCGCUACACUGAUACAUUCAACGAGUCUAAAACCUGCUCUGAUAGGGGUGGGUAAUCUUUUGAAUGUGCAUCGUGAUUGGGAUAGAUGAUUGCAAUUUUUCAUCUUCAACGAGGAAUGCCUAGUAAACGCAAGUCAUCAGCUUGCAUUGAUUACGUCCCUGCCCUUUGUACACACCGCCCGUCGCUCCUACCGAUUGAAUGAUCCGAUGAAUAUCAUGGAUUGAGGAUGCAAGUAGGUUAGCCUAUCUUCAUCUUCGAGAAGUGAAGUAAAUCUUAUCAUUUAGAGGAAGGAGAAGUCGUAACA